GGGAAUGAGGAUUUCUCAGACUAGAGACUUUGAUGCUGAUCCUGAUGUCAAAAAUUAAGUUUUAACUC
ensembl:snoRNA